rnacentral:rRNA from 3 species
GGGUUGUGAGGUUAAGCGACUAAGCGUACACGGUGGAUGCCCUGGCAGUCAGAGGCGAUGAAGGGCGUGCUAAUCUGCGAUAAGCGCCGGUAAGGUGAUAUGAACCGUUAUAACCGGCGAUACCCGAAUGGGGAAACCCAGUGUGACUCGUCACACUAUCAUUAACUGAAUCCAUAGGUUAAUGAGGCGAACCGGGGGAACUGAAACAUCUAAGUACCCCGAGGAAAAGAAAUCAACCGAGAUUCCCCCAGUAGCGGCGAGCGAACGGGGAGGAGCCCAGAGCCUGAAUCAGCAUGUGUGUUAGUGGAAGCGUCUGGAAAGGCGCGCGAUACAGGGUGACAGUCCCGUACACAAAAGCGCAUGUGCUGUGAGCUCGAUGAGUAGGGCGGGACACGUGGUAUCCUGUCUGAAUAUGGGGGGACCAUCCUCCAAGGCUAAAUACUCCUGACUGACCGAUAGUGAACCAGUACCGUGAGGGAAAGGCGAAAAGAACCCCGGCGAGGGGAGUGAAAAAGAACCUGAAACCGUGUACGUACAAGCAGUGGGAGCCCCACCACUAAGCCAGUGGUGAACUCCACAUACGCAUCCUUUGCUGAGGAUACGGUUAACGGAGCGAAAGCGACGUUCAACCGCAAAAGAAGCAGAGGGGGCUUAGUGGUGGGGUGACUGCGUACCUUUUGUAUAAUGGGUCAGCGACUUAUAUUCUGUAGCAAGGUUAACCGAAUAGGGGAGCCGGAGGGAAACCGAGUCUUAAU